GGGGGGGGGGGGGUGGUUGGGGGUUUAGGUUACACUCACAAUUAAAUAAUUGAAACAAUUAGCUGGUUUGACAUUUUAAUUGAUUAUUGCAAUAUUUUCACACUGAUAUUGUAAUUUGUUAAUUUUAUUUUUAAAUAAUAUGAAAAUAAUGUAAUCUAAUAAUUAUGACCAUAAAUCAAAAUACUGUUUAAUAAAAUUGUAUUUUAUGUGGAUGUAGUUAAUUAAAUAUAUUCAUCAACAGUUUGUGACUUCUCUUUCCCAACAUGUUCUCAAUGGUGCUUUGUUUCUGAAAAAAUAUGUGAGGAUUUAAUAUUACACUAAAACAACCAGAUACCUUAUAUAAUAAUUGUUGUGGUUAGUGUCCGACACGGGGUCCCAACGUUUAACUGCUAUUAAUCCAACACAAUAUUACACAUGAUUGUGUACACAUAACAUUUUUGCUAACAAUACAGUAAGUAAUUUACAUGA
rnacentral:lncRNA from 1 species